GUGGGGAAUUUUGGACAAUGGGCGCAAGCCUGAUCCAGCAAUGCCGCGUGCAGGAAGAAGGCCUUCGGGUUGUAAACUGCUUUUGUACGGAACGAAACGGUCUGGGUUAAUACCUCGGGCUAAUGACGGUACCGUAAGAAUAAGCACCGGCUAACUACGUGCCAGCAGCCGCGGUAAUACGUAGGGUGCAAGCGUUAAUCGGAAUUACUGGGCGUAAAGCGUGCGCAGGCGGUUUUGUAAGACAGGCGUGAAAUCCCCGGGCUCAACCUGGGAAUGGCGCUUGUGACUGCAAGGCUGGAGUGCGGCAGAGGGGGAUGGAAUUCCGCGUGUAGCAGUGAAAUGCGUAGAUAUGCGGAGGAACACCGAUGGCGAAGGCAAUCCCCUGGGCCUGCACUGACGCUCAUGCACGAAAGCGUGGGGAGCAAACAGGAUUAGAUACCCUGGUAGUCC
rnacentral:rRNA from 1 species